CAUAGGGGCGCCUGGGUGGCUCAGUCGGUUAAGCGUCCGACUUCAGCUCAGGUCACGAUCUCGCGGUCCGUGAGUUCGAGCCCCGCGUCGGGCUCUGGGCUGAUGGCUCAGAGCCUGGAGCUUGCUUCCGAUUCUGUGUCUCCCUCUCUCUCUGCCCCUCCCCCGUUCAUGCUGUGUCUCUCUC